rnacentral:lncRNA from 10 species
UUGAUGACAACAUCUUGGUUGAGGAAUCACAAAUGUCUGAAAAAGAAGUCGCAAGGAUGGUUGCACUGUGAAAAUCUUUGAAAAGUGCCCAGUGCUGGGACCUACUCAUUUGACCUGCCUGAUGACACUAAACAACAAAGUGGGAAUUGGCUUUCUUGGCAUUAAUCAAGCUAUAGAGAUGCCUCAAGUUGGCAAGAAAGAAAAGGAAGUCUUUGUGCCGUUGAAUACCAAAUCUGGUCUCUAUUACAGUGCCGAAGGAGUGCUGUUUGGAAUGACAUUGGAAACAGCCAAAGAACAUCUCCAAGACCUUCUGACGUUGAUGGAGAGAACCUCUGACUGAAUCCUUGGUGGCCAGGCAGGCAGGGCAGCUCAUUCUGAAUGAGUAGAAAUCUCAUUUAUAAUGUUCAACCUAGGUAACAUGUUUUAGAAGACAACUUAAGUCAGAGGGAAAGCCUAUUAUGGCCAAAGCCUGAAUAUUUGUCCAGUCGGCUGUUAAUCCAGUCAGCUUUGAUGGAAGAAUUGGUAAUAGGAAGAUUGUUCUUUUUGGCUUGUUGGGCUGGAGUCAGAGAGAGGGGGACACCCACAUGGCCAGAAAGCUGAGAUGUCAUAGCUAGAUAGUCCUCGCAAAUGCCACUUUACCAAACAGCCUUCCAUUAUGAUUGUCUGCAAAUGAAAGUUAACACUGCUACACCUGGCAAGGAAAUUCUUUGCAGAGCCAUGGGUGUAGUUACCACACUGCACUGCAGCAGUUUGGGAGAAGAUGCUGAAUUAGGGUGAACCUCCAGUAGCCUCUUCUGGGCUUCUUCAUGGAAAGGAAGUGAGAGAGCUUCCUGAAGCAGGAGAUGGGACAGGUGCCAGGCAACAGAAGAAAAUCAGGCCCUGCACAAUGGAUCACGCCUGUAAUCCUAUGGCUUUUGGAGGCUGAGGCAGGAGGAUUGCUUGAGCUCAGGAGUUUGGGACCCCAUCUAUACAAAAAAAAAUUGGCCAGGUGUGGGGUGACAUGCAUCUGUAGUCCCAGCUACUCAGGAGGCUGAGGCAGGAGGAUGACUUGAGCCCAGGAGUUCGAGAUUGCAUCACUGCACUCCAGCCUGGGUGACAGAGCCAGACUCUGUCUCA